UACGGAGAGUGCAAACGUUGUUCGGAUUCACUGGGCGUAAAGGGCACGUAGGCGGCUCGGCAAAUCGGUCGUGGAAUCCAGACGCUUACCGUCUGAACGGCGGCCGAAAAAUACCGGGCUCGAGGGCGUGAGGGGUCACUGGAACUCCUGGUGGAAGCGGUGAAAUGCGUAGAUAUCAGGAGGAACGCCGGAGGCGAAAGCGAGUGACUGGCGCGUUCCUGACGCUGAGGUGCGAAAGCUAGGGGAGCAAACAGG
rnacentral:rRNA from 1 species